rnacentral:misc_RNA from 1 species
UACGGAGGGUGCAAGCGUUAUCCGGAAUCACUGGGUUUAAAGGGUGCGUAGGCGGCUUUUUAAGUCAGUGGUGAAAUUCUACCGCUUAACGGUAGGGGGUCCAUUGAUACUGAGAAGCUUGAAAAGGGUUGAGGUAGGCAGAAUGUGGCAUGUAGCGGUGAAAUGCUUAGAUAUGCCAUAGAACACCGAUUGCGAAGGCAGCUUACUGGACCGAUUUUGACGCUGAGGCACGAAAGCGUGGGGAGCGAACAGG